GACGAACGCUGGCGGCGUGCUUAACACAUGCAAGUCGAACGGAAAGGCCCUGCUUUUGUGGGGUGCUCGAGUGGCGAACGGGUGAGUAACACGUGAGUAACCUGCCCUUGACUUUGGGAUAACUUCAGGAAACUGGGGCUAAUACCGGAUAGGAGCUCCUGCUGCAUGGUGGGGGGUGGAAAGUUUCGGCGGUUGGGGAUGGAUUCGCGGCUUAUCAGCUUGUUGGUGGGGUAGUGGCUUACCAAGGCUUUGACGGGUAGCCGGCCUGAGAGGGUGACCGGCCACCUUGGGACUGCGAUACGGACCAGACUCCUACGGGAGGCAGCAGUGGGGAAUAUUGCACAAUGGGCGGAAGCCUGAUGCAGCAACGCCGCGUGCGGGAUGACGGCCUUCGGGUUGUAAACCGCUUUCGCCUGUGACGAAGCGUGAGUGACGGUAAUGGGUAAAGAAGCACCGGCUAACUACGUG
rnacentral:rRNA from 1 species